UACGUAGGGGGCAAGCGUUUGUCCGGAAUCAUUGGGCGUAAAGCGCGUGUAGGCGGCCCGGUAAGUCCGCUGUGAAAGUCGGGGGCUCAACCCUCGAAUGCCGGUGGAUACUGUCGGGCUAGAGUGCGGGAGAGGCGAGUGGAAUUCCUGGUGUAGCGGUGAAAUGCGCAGAUAUCAGGAGGAACACCGGUGGCGAAGGCGGUUCUCUGGGCAUUACCUGACGGCUGAGGAGCGAAAGUGUCGGGGAGCGAACAGG
rnacentral:rRNA from 1 species